rnacentral:rRNA from 1 species
GAUUCCCUUAGUAGCUGCGAGCGAACAGGGAAAAGCCCAGCACUGAAUCCUGCGUGCCUCGCGCACGCGUGGAAAUGUAGUGUUUGGGAGGAUCCGAUCAUCUCGUGCAGUCGCACCAGUCCAAGUCCAUCUUGAAAGCGGCCACAGCCCAUAGAGGGUGCCAGGCCCGUAGGACGGUCGACGAUGCACGAAAGGAUCUCUCCCAGAGUUCAAGAGUACGUGAAACCGUUCGGGGGUAAACGGAUGAAAUUUGGAAAAUCGAAGCGAGAGAUUCAAGUCACACAGCCGCGCGUUGUGGGGUGGCCCCCGAUGGCGGAUCGUGGCCCGCGCGGUGCAGCAAUGUCCGCCGGUGUCCUUCGGUCCGUCACGCGUCGCUCCGCUCGCCGGUGUCUGGCCGCACUUUUCUCGUUGUAGUACGUCGCGACCCGUUGGGCGCGUGUCUAAGGCCCGUCGAGGAGCCGGUUCGAGUUUGCGGCUUGGGGGCCUUGCCCUCGCUCGUCCGACCGGCGGUGUCCCGGCACGCAGGCUCGACGGUAUUCGUAUCGAAAAGAACGCCCGUGGGGCGGCUCUUGGGCACGGUACGCGUCUGCGACG